GAUGAAGAACGUAGCGAAAUGCGAUAACUAAUGUGAAUUGCAGAAUUCAGUGAAUCAUCGAGUCUUUGAACGCACAUUGCGCCCCCUGGUAUUCCGGGGGGCAUGCCUGUCCGAGCGUCAUUGCUGCCCUCAAGCACGGCUUGUGUGUUGGGCUCCGUCCCCCCGGGGACGGGCCCGAAAGGCAGCGGCGGCACCGAGUCCGGUCCUCGAGCGUAUGGGGCUUUGUCACCCGCUCUGUAGGCCCGGCCGGCGCCAGCCGACAACCCAUCAUCCUUUUCAGGUUGACCUCGGAUCAGGUAGGGAUACCCGCUGAACUUAGCAUAUCAAUAAGCGGAGGA
rnacentral:misc_RNA from 1 species